rnacentral:rRNA from 1 species
UACGGAGGGUGCGAGCGUUGUCCGGAAUCACUGAGCGUAAAGGGCGCGUAGGCGGCUUCUCAAGCGUGUGGUGAAAGUCCGGGGCUCAACCCCGGAUCGGCCGUGCGGACUGGGGAGCUCGAGUUCUGUAGAGGCGGGUGGAAUUCCGGGUGUAGCGGUGGAAUGCGUAGAGAUCCGGAAGAACACCGGUGGCGAAGGCGGCCCGCUGGGCAGAGACUGACGCUGAGGCGCGACAGCGUGGGGAGCAAACAGG